rnacentral:rRNA from 1 species
AUUGAACGCUGGCGGCAGGCCUAACACAUGCAAGUCGAACGGUAACAGGAAACAGCUUGCUGUUUCGCUGACGAGUGGCGGACGGGUGAGUAAUGUCUGGGAAACUGCCUGAUGGAGGGGGAUAACUACUGGAAACGGUAGCUAAUACCGCAUAACGUCGCAAGACCAAAGAGGGGGACCUUCGGGCCUCUUGCCAUCGGAUGCGCCCAGAUGGGAUUAUGUAGUCGGUGGGGUAACGGCUCACCUAGGCGACGAUCCCUAGCUGGUCUGAGAGGAUGACCAGCCACACUGGAACUGAGACACGGUCCAGACUCCUACGGGAGGCAGCAGUGGUGAAUAUUGCACAAUGGGCGGAAGCCUGAUGCAGCCAUGCCGCGUGUAUGAAGAAGGCCUUCGGGUUGUAAAGUACUUUCAGCGGGGAGGAAGGUGUUGUGGUUAAUAACCGCAGCAAUUGACGUUACCCGCAGAAGAAGCACCGGCUAACUCCGUGCCAGCAGCCGCCGUAA